UAAAAAAAGGUAAGCUACUAAGAGCGAAUGGUGGAUGCCUUGACUGGUAAAGGCGAUGAAGGACGUACUAGACUGCGAUAAGCUACGGGGAGCUGUCAAGAAGCUUUGAUCCGUAGAUUUCCGAAUGGGGCAACCCAAUGUAUAGAGAUAUACAUUACCUAUAUAGGAGCGAACGAGGGGAAUUGAAACAUCUUAGUACCCUCAGGAAAAGAAAUCAAUAGAGAUUGCGUCAGUAGCGGCGAGCGAAAGCGCAAGAGGGCAAACCCAGUGCUUGCACUGGGGGUUGUAGGACUGCAAUGUGCAAGAGCUGAGUUUAGCAGAACAUUCUGGAAAGUAUAGCCAUAGAGGGUGAUAGUCCCGUAUGCGAAAAACAAAGCUUAGCUAGCAGUAUCCUGAGUAGGGCGGGACACGAGGAAUCCUGUCUGAAUCCGGGUCGACCACGAUCCAACCCUAAAUACUAAUACCAGAUCGAUAGUGCACAAGUACCGUGAGGGAAAGGUGAAAAGAACUGAGGUGAUCAGAGUGAAAUAGAACCUGAAACCAUUUGCUUACAAUCAUUCAGAGCACUAUGUAGCAAUACAGUGUGAUGGACUGCCUUUUGCAUAAUGAGCCUGCGAGUUGUGGUGUCUGGCAAGGUUAAGCAAACGCGAAGCCGUAGCGAAAGCGAGUCUGAAUAGGGCGCUUAGUCAGAUGCUGCAGACCCGAAACGAAGUGAUCUAUCCAUGAGCAAGUUGAAGCUAGUGUAAGAACUAGUGGAGGACUGAACCCAUAGGCGUUGAAAAGCCCCGGGAUGACUUGUGGAUAGGGGUGAAAGGCCAAUCAAACUUCGUGAUAGCUGGUUCUCUCCGAAAUAUAUUUAGGUAUAGCGUUGUGUCGUAAUAUAAGGGGGUAGAGCACUGAAUGGGCUAGGGCAUACACCAAUGUACCAAACCCUAUCAAACUCCGAAUACCUUAUAUGUAAUCACAGCAGUCAGGCGGCGAGUGAUAAAAUCCGUCGUCAAGAGGGAAACAACCCAGACUACCAGCUAAGGUCCCUAAAUCUUACUUAAGUGGAAAACGAUGUGAAGUUACUUAAACAACCAGGAGGUUGGCUUAGAAGCAGCCAUCCUUUAAAGAAAGCGUAAUAGCUCACUGGUCUAGUGAUUUUGCGCGGAAAAUAUAACGGGGCUAAAGUAAGUACCGAAGCUGUAGACUUGCACACAACUUAGAUUAUUUAAGUUUAGAAUAUGAGAAACUAAGUUAUAUGUUUAGUUAUAUUUUUACUGAUUUUUAUAGAGUAAAGAUAGAAAUAAAACUUAAUAAAAUCAGUAAAAAUAUUCUUAGGCUAAAGUUAAGUAGUUUAAGUUGUGUGCAAGUGGUAGGAGAGCGUUCUAUUUGCGUCGAAGGUAUACCGGUAAGGAGUGCUGGAGCGAAUAGAAGUGAGCAUGCAGGCAUGAGUAGCGAUAAUUAAUGUGAGAAUCAUUAACGCCGUAAACCCAAGGUUUCCUACGCGAUGCUCGUCAUCGUAGGGUUAGUCGGGUCCUAAGUCGAGUCCGAAAGGGGUAGACGAUGGCAAAUUGGUUAAUAUUCCAAUACCAACAUUAGUGUGCGAUGGAAGGACGCUUAGGGCUAAGGGGGCUAGCGGAUGGAAGUGCUAGUCUAAGGUUGUAGGAGGUUAUACAGGCAAAUCCGUAUAACAAUACUCCGAGAACUGAAAGGCUUUUUGAAGUCUUCGGAUGGAUAGAAGAACCCCUGAUGCCGUCGAGCCAAGAAAAGUUUCUAAGUUUAGCUAAUGUUGCCCGUACCGUAAACCGACACAGGUGGGUGGGAUGAGUAUUCUAAGGCGCGUGGAAGAACUCUCUUUAAGGAACUCUGCAAAAUAGCACCGUAUCUUCGGUAUAAGGUGUGGUUAGCUUCGUACUAGGAUUUACUCCGAAAGCGAAGAAACUUACAACAAAGAGUCCCUCCCGACUGUUUACCAAAAACACAGCACUCUGCUAACUCGUAAGAGGAUGUAUAGGGUGUGACGCCUGCCCGGUGCUCGAAGGUUAAUUGAUGGGGUUAGCAUUAGCGAAGCUCUUGAUCGAAGCCCGAGUAAACGGCGGCCGUAACUAUAACGGUCCUAAGGUAGCGAAAUUCCUUGUCGGUUAAAUACCGACCUGCAUGAAUGGCGUAACGAGAUGGGAGCUGUCUCAAAGAGGGAUCCAGUGAAAUUGUAGUGGAGGUGAAAAUUCCUCCUACCCGCGGCAAGACGGAAAGACCCCGUGGACCUUUACUACAGCUUGACACUGCUACUUGGAU
rnacentral:rRNA from 1 species